UGACAACUCUAGAGAUAGAGCCUUCCCCUUCGGGGGACAAAGUGACAGGUGGUGCAUGGUUGUCGUCAGCUCGUGUCGUGAGAUGUUGGGUUAAGUCCCGCAACGAGCGCAACCCUUAAGCUUAGUUGCCAUCAUUAAGUUGGGCACUCUAAGUUGACUGCCGGUGACAAACCGGAGGAAGGUGGGGAUGACGUCAAAUCAUCAUGCCCCUUAUGAUUUGGGCUACACACGUGCUACAAUGGACAAUACAAAGGGCAGCGAAACCGCGAGGUCAAGCAAAUCCCAUAAAGUUGUUCUCAGUUCGGAUUGUAGUCUGCAACUCGACUACAUGAAGCUGGAAUCGCUAGUAAUCGUAGAUCAGCAUGCUACGGUGAAUACGUUCCCGGGUCUUGUACACACCGCCCGUCACACCACGAGAGUUUGUAACACCCGAAGCCGGUGGAGUAACCUUUUAGGAGCUAGCCGUCGAAGGUGGGACAAAUGAUUGGG
rnacentral:rRNA from 1 species